AUCUCCAGCUGGGAAGCGGCGCGGAGCGGAGCUGCUUCCUCGCCUCACCGCGGCUCCCCGCACCGCGACGGGACGGGCACACGGGCGGGCGGGCACGCCGGCAGCGGCAAGAAGAGCCAGCGGGGGCACCCGGCAUCGCUCCGCGGGGGUGAACCUGAAUCUGCCUCGCAGCGCCGAAGCCAGCGGAGAGAGCCGCUCCCCCCUUCCUCGUCCUCCUCGUCCCUUCCCAAUCCACCCCCGCGACCCUGGUCCUCCUCCUCCUCCUCCUCACCCCACUGGAUACAGCGAGGGAGACACUGCGGCGGAGGCGGCGGCGGCGGCGGCUCCUGCGGGGGGAAGGAAGCGCCCGGAGAGCGGAGCGGCGGGAGGCUGCGGAUCUGCGUGCCUGGCGCCCACCCAGCCCGAGGGGAGCCCCCAGGAUGCGGCUGAAGCCCGGCGCGCUCCUGCGCUUCUACAGCCUCUGCGGGAUCCUCGUACAAGGUGAGUAACUGAAGGUUAACAGAAUUCGUGGUUGUCAAGUAUGCUUAAUGCUUUUCUAUAGUAUGCUGUGGGUAAGUAAGUGACAUUCUACUUUUUAAAAAAAUCAUAGUUAAAAGAGCACAUAAGCAGAAAUGAAUAAUUGGUAAUAACUUCUGCAAUUGUGUUUUAAUAAUUGUCAUAAUUGGCUAUUAUAUUAACUGUAAAAAACUACAACAGGUUUGAAAAGGUAUUUUAUAUGGAGAAGCUUGGAUGGUAGGUGUUACUUGGUUUCAUAGAAUUUUGUGACUUUCUGUCCUUUUGUCAUUUAGAUUAUAUACUUAGAGUUGAAAGCUUUGAGAGUUUGUAGGUGUGAAAAUGUUUUGGUUUCUAAAGGGGUAAGUGUACAUGACAGUAAACUAAAACUCGCAGUUCUACAAAUGAAUUUAAGAAAUUAUUUCACAGAUUGAGAAAACUGCUUUCUGUUUGUGGCUACUACAUUUACAAAUAAAUGUUGUAUUUUCAAUUUUGUUAAUGGAGUUCUUUGGUUCUGCAGAAGUUGUUAGGAAAAAA
rnacentral:lncRNA from 1 species